UGGGGAAUAUUGGACAAUGGAGGAAACUCUGAUCCAGCAAUUCUGUGUGUGUGAAGAAGGUUUUAGGACUGUAAAACACUUUUAGUAGGGAAGAAAAAAAUGACGGUAACUACAGAAGAAGCAACGGCUAAAUACGUGCCAGCAGCCGCGGUAAUACGUAUGUUGCGAGCGUUAUCCGGAAUUAUUGGGCUUAAAAGGCAUCUAGGCGGUAAGACAAGUUGAAGGUGAAAACCUGUGGCUCAACCAUAGGCUUGCCUACAAAACUGUUGAACUAGAGUACUGGAAAGGUGGGUGGAACUACACGAGUAGAGGUGAAAUUCUUAGAAAUGUGUAGGAAUGCCGAUGAUGAAGAUAACUCACUGGACGGAAACUGACGCUGAUGAGCGAAAGCUAGGGGAGCAAACAGG
rnacentral:rRNA from 1 species